GACGAACGCUGGCGGCGUGCUUCAUACAUGCAAGUCGAACGAGAAGCUGACUUCGGUCAGUGGAAAGUGGCGGACGGGUGAGUAAUAUGUAGGAAAUCUGCCUUUAGGAGGGGGACAACAGAGGGAAACUUCUGCUAAUACCCCAUAUGAGCGUAGCUGAAAUGCUAUUCUUGAAAACUCCGGUGCCUAAAGAUGAGCCUGCAUCUGAUUAGCUAGUUGGUAGUGUAAUGGACUACCAAGGCGACGAUCAGUAGCUGGUUUGAGAGGAUGAUCAGCCACAAUGGGACUGAGACACGGCCCGGACUCCUACGGGAGGGAGUAGUAGGGAAUUUUGCGCAAUGGGCGAGAGCCUGACGCAGCAACGCCGCGUGAACGAUUAAGCCCUUCGGGGUGUAAAGUUCUGUCAGUGGGGACGAAACUUGACGGUACCCACAGAGGAAGCACCGGCUAACUCCGUG
rnacentral:rRNA from 1 species